CCCCACUUAGCUCAGUUGGCAGAGCGUUUGGCUGUAGACCGAACGGUCACUGGUUCAAUUCCGGUAGUGGGGA
rnacentral:tRNA from 1 species